UACGUAGGGUGCAAGCGUUUGUCCGGAAUUAUUGGGCGUAAAGAGCUCGUAGGCGGUCUGUCGCGUCGGAUGUGAAAAUCCAGGGCUCAACCCUGGACCUGCAUUCGAUACGGGCAGACUAGAGUUCGGCAGGGGAGACUGGAAUUCCUGGUGUAGCGGUGAAAUGCGCAGAUAUCAGGAGGAACACCGGUGGCGAAGGCGGGUCUCUGGGCAGUAACUGACGCUGAGGAGCGAAAGCGUGGGGAGCGAACAGG
rnacentral:rRNA from 1 species